CGGCGGCAGUCGUUACGAUAGUAAUCCUGCCCAGUACGAGAGGAACGGCAGGUUCGGACAUUUGGUUCGGCACUCGCCCGAGCGGGCGUUGGUGCGAGGCUACCAUCCGUUGGAUUACGCCUGAACGCCUCUAAGGCCGUAUCCACUCUGGAGAAAACAGCCGGGCCGGCUUUCGGGCCGGUCUCGGGAAAACGAUCGUCCGUACGGCGGAGGAGAACCCAGUAUACAUCGGGAAGGCGUCAAAGCACGGACCUUCGGGUCCACGACGAGCCGGAUUCUCGGCCGCGCGGGCUCUCGGGCCCGCUGGCCGUGCAUCAACGGUGAACGCGGUGAUCCCGCGGCAAACGGUGUGGGUUUUCGGAAUCGUCUGCAGACGACUUAAGUACCGGGCUGGGUGUUGUACUCGGCAGAGCAGUUACCACGCUGCGAUCUGUUAAGACUGCCCUUUGCCUCGGGGGUUCGU
rnacentral:ncRNA from 1 species